CUUGGAAGAUAAAUAAUGCCUUGGAAUUCAAAUUGGGCUUUGAGUGCACUUGGACCAUCUGUCGACUGAAGGAAGUGGAAAUAAAAGGGAGCAUUGGGCCUUAGUUUGGAUCUUAUUUGGAAUAAAAUUCAAUAAAGACUUGGACUCCUAAUUUGUCUACAACACCAGGGCUUUACUGUUUAUGUAUAUAUACACAUACAUGCACCGAAGAUUGAGGAGGCCGAAAAUUGAAGCUGUGGAAUUAAUAAAAUCGGCCAGCUAUUGGGAGAAAUUGGGGGCUGCAAAGUUGACCUCAACAGGUAUAUAAUUCCCACAGAAGCCGAGGCCGGGGGGCUGGAGAAAAAAUAAUAUAUAGACAGGUAAAAAACCGAUAGAUUUUGAAGAGGCUGCUUGGGGAACAUUGGCUGAAUUGGAAUCUUAUUUACAGAAAAAGGAAGCAGCUGAAUUGAAUCAUAUAUAUACACACAAAAAACAUAUUAAAAGGCUAUUGUUGCUGGAACAAAUACAUAGGCGGCUGCUGUUGAAUGCAUAUCCACAGACACACGAGUUGCAACAGGAAUUAAGAGACAUAUAUUCAUGCAGAAGGUGGCUGGACACAUAUACAUACACGCAAUUGAAGGCCAGAAUUUGAAGAUAAGAGGCAGCCAAGGAAUACGUAUAAAUACACGUUGAAGCAAAAGCGGAUGGAAGAAAUUUGGAUAUUAAUCACGUUUGCUCUGUUUGUGGUAAUAUCUUCUAUCUUUUCUUUGUGUAAUUCCGUCGUCAUGCUAGGCUAGAUGUUUUGUGCUAGGAUUUGCGAUGAAUCUUAUAUUAUGAACUUAUAAUCUUGAAUUUUAUUUAUUUUGACGUUAAAACACAUUUUUAAUUAUUAUACGAUUGACAUGGAUUUUAUUUUCUCUACAAUUAUACGUGCAAUAGUUGUAUGAGAUUUGUGUCUUGUUUUACCCUCGAG
rnacentral:lncRNA from 1 species